CCCCCCAGGAAGAGUCCCUUUUUCCUAAAUUUCUACAAACAAACCAGCGAAGAAUAACAAAUUGAUAAACGGAACGCACGUUUUAGGCUUUAUCCUUUGUCCUUGUUUCUAACACUAAGUAAUGAUAAAUUAUUGUUAAUAUUUUUUAAAUUCUUUGUGUGUUUUUUCCUUCUUUUAUUUCAAAUAGAAGUAUAGUUAGGAUAAAUUCUAGAAAAUUUAGAUGCUCAGACGGCAGGAAAUGGCAUUUUUGGGCUUGAAAUUUCAAAAAUUUUCUGGGGAGUUAAUGCCUCCAGACCCCCCUAUUCAUUCGCGGUAUGUCGGCCACACACGUGACCCACGGCCAUUGCUAUCCCCCUUUAAUAAUAAGUAAUGGAUAAAUUAUUGUUAAAGGUGAUCUACAGUCCGUAUGUAAACAAAGCCUUUGUUUACAUUUUUGUGCCCAAAAUAUUGAGCUUUAUUCGACAACUAUUUAUAUAGAUGCAGUUAGUGAGUUAGGUUUUGUGCAUGCUCACAGGGUUUUGAAAGCAAACCAUGCCGUGAAAUAUGUGAAGCCUAUGGUUUGUGUCAUGUAUCUAACUAUCUAGGUAGAAUACCUAAAAGUAGAUGUUGUACAAACUACAAAGUUGUGGUUUAUAGAAUCUGGCAGACCUCCCCCGCCCCCUGUCUCCUAUUUCCUCC
rnacentral:lncRNA from 1 species